rnacentral:rRNA from 1 species
UACGAAGGGGGCUAGCGUUGCUCGGAAUCACUGGGCGUAAAGGGUGCGUAGGCGGGUCUUUAAGUCAGGGGUGAAAUCCUGGGGCUCAACUCCAGAACUGCCUUUGAUACUGAAGAUCUUGAGUUCGGGAGAGGUGAGUGGAACUGCGAGUGUAGAGGUGAAAUUCGUAGAUAUUCGCAAGAACACCAGUGGCGAAGGCGGCUCACUGGCCCGAUACUGACGCUGAGGCACGAAAGCGUGGGGAGCAAAAGGG